AAUCUGAUUCCAACUAUCUCCCCCCUCCAAAAUGGUACAUUGAACAUUGUCCUCCAUUUCUUUAUUAGCAACUGCGAUAUUCCUCUAGAGCCUCCGCUUCAAUUCCAUUGCUAUCAACACCAGAACCCCUGUUUCAAGACCCCAAUACACGAUCCAGAGCAAAUGCAUUUGUUAUAAACAUGAGCAAGUUGGAGUGCGCAAGGCCCUGUUUGACCCCAUUGAAAACUCCAAUUGUGCCUUGAAGUUUUCUCCAGUAGAAAAAUAAAUGACCACCAAGAAUCCGAUAUCACAGUUUUCUCUCUUUCCUUGCAUUUUCCCACACUCUCACUAAAAAACUCAAAUGCAACAACAAAGAAUGAAACCCACCUUUAGAAUUCCGCCUCCCUAUGCUCUUUGACACCGCGAUUCUGACCCACAAAAACCCUAAUAAAAAACCGCAAAUAACCAAGGCAGAGCAAAUGGGUGUCCAGGGCUCAAGCAAAAAUAAAGUUCUGAAGACGAAUUUUUAACGUCCCAUACAAAUAUGCGUGUUAGUGUUUUGUUCAGUUGUACAGAGUAGAGUGCGUGAUUUGGA
rnacentral:misc_RNA from 1 species